rnacentral:rRNA from 1 species
UAGGGAAUCUUCGGCAAUGGGGGCAACCCUGACCGAGCAACGCCGCGUGAGUGAAGAAGGUUUUCGGAUCGUAAAGCUCUGUUGUAAGUCAAGAACGAGUGUGAGAGUGGAAAGUUCACACUGUGACGGUAGCUUACCAGAAAGGGACGGCUAACUACGUGCCAGCAGCCGCGGUAAUACGUAGGUCCCGAGCGUUGUCCGGAUUUAUUGGGCGUAAAGCGAGCGCAGGCGGUUUGAUAAGUCUGAAGUUAAAGGCUGUGGCUCAACCAUAGUUCGCUUUGGAAACUGUCAAACUUGAGUGCAGAAGGGGAGAGUGGAAUUCCAUGUGUAGCGGUGAAAUGCGUAGAUAUAUGGAGGAACACCGGUGGCGAAAGCGGCUCUCUGGUCUGUAACUGACGCUGAGGCUCGAAAGCGUGGGGAGCGAACAGGAUUAGAUACCCUGGUAGUCCACGCCGUANNGAUGAGUGCUAGGUGUUGGAUCCUUUCCGGGAUUCAGUGCUNCAGCUAACGCAUUAAGCACUCCGCCUGGGGAGUACNACCGCAAGGUUG